CUGAACAGCAGUUUGUGUUUAACCUAAACCAGUCACCAUCCUGCUUAUCAUCAAAAUGUUGCUCUUUUUAACUGCUUUGAUUUGUUCUCUUAUAUGUGUCACGUUUGCGAAUGUCAUCACACCAGUUGACAGUGAGGUUUAUGGGACAGAGGAGGAAACUUUAACUCUGUCCUGUGAUUACUCCUCAGCAUCCACACUACAGUGGUAUCACCAAUAUCCUGGAUCAGCUCCUGAAUUUCUGUUACUCAUUCUGCAUGCUAAUGGAAGAGUUUCACAAGUGUCAGAUAUUGUGAAUCUAGAUCCACGAUUCUUUGGGAAACUGAAUGAAAAGAAAACUCAAGUGCAUCUGGAGAUCUCAUCUGUUAAAGUCACAGACUCUGCUCUUUAUUACUGUGCCAUGGUGCCCACAGUGACAGGAAACACAUCAACGCUGUACAAAAACCUUCCCAAAAACAACAGGAAAGUGUCAUAUAUUGCAUAUUUUUAGUAAAUGUUAAUUUAAACUGAGAUG